CUUGGCCUGCUGUGUUCAUCCAGCUCUACACCUUGUUAUCUCAGAUUCUCCAGCAUCUGCAGUUCCUGCUAUCUCUGAAACAAGAGACAGGGAGUUGGGUUAUCUGAGACUGAGCCAUUGGGAAAAGGAUUGAACUGAAGUUAACUACUCAAAAUGCAACUGAAGGUAGAAAAGCUCACCCGUUGAGUUGUUUCGGCAAUUUGGUUAUGGGAAUUCCAAAACCGAGAAGGUUCACUCAGGAAAGCACUGUGCAUCCGAAAUGUGCCGAGGUGAAGCUGACAUGUCUAAGAGAGCUCACUAACCUCCAAACAACUUACCUUUCCAACCUUUUAAACACCAACCGCUCUGCAGCUUUGGAGAGUCUGUAGAUGUGAAGCAGGAAUCUGAAUCCAGCACAGGUACACCUACAUUGACAGACGCCACUGCCAACUGAAGUUCAAGUGGCCAAAGGCUGACCAAGAAAGUAUUGGAACAGUCCAAUCUGAAGGUCAUAAAGGCAAGGACAAGAUUUUCAGCAGCAGAUGAGGGAUUUGGACCUUGUGCACAAACGAUUGAAAUUUAAUAUGCAGCUAUAGCAAGCAAUUGGGAACAUGAAUGGAGUGUUGGCCUGAAAAUAAGUUUGGCGUCCAAUGACGGAAUGUGGGAGCAGGAAGAAGACAGGAACCAGUUCUGGAGGUUGAUUUUAAAAGGCUGGCAUUACAAGGCAUGCCCUUGCCUUGCAGAAUGGUGCAAGCAGAGAGCAGUAUAAGAGUGAACCACAAUCCUGUGGGUUUGGAGUCACGUGCAGGCCAGACCAGAACAUUUCCUACAGCCUUUGGUGUCUGGAAUCUUACUGGUUGUUGCAUUCUUCCUGCAGAAGACAUACCGACACAAGUAUAAGUACAAUACCGCUAAUCCAGUUACCUACCCUUGCCCAUAACUCUGUCCUAUCUCACAUGGCUAUUUCCAUAGUCAUGAAAACUCUGUCAUUGGAACUGAAUGAAGUAAUAAAAUAAAGAACUCCA